CGUCGCCAAGUGGUAAGGCAGCGGGUUUUGAUCCCGCCAUCCGUUGGUUCGAAUCCAGCCG
rnacentral:tRNA from 1 species